rnacentral:rRNA from 1 species
UACAGAGGGUGCGAGCGUUAAUCGGAAUUACUGGGCGUAAAGCGCACGUAGGCGGCGACGUCAGUCGGGUGUGAAAGCCCCGGGCUCAACCUGGGAAUUGCAUUCGAGACUGCAUUGCUUGAGUACGGAAGAGGAGGGCGGAAUUCCCGGUGUAGCGGUGAAAUGCGUAGAUAUCGGGAGGAACAUCAGUGGCGAAGGCGGCCCUCUGGUCCAGUACUGACACUCAAGUGCGAAAGCGUGGGGAGCAAACAGG